rnacentral:rRNA from 1 species
UAGAGUUUGAUCAUGGCUCAGAUUGAACGCUGGCGGCAGGCCUAACACAUGCAAGUCGAGCGGAAACGACAACAUUGAAUCUUCGGAGGAUUUGUUGGGCGUCGAGCGGCGGACGGGUGAGUAAUGCCUAGGAAAUUGCCUAGAUGUGGGGGAUAACCAUUGGAAACGAUGGCUAAUACCGCAUAAUGCCUACGGGCCAAAGAGGGGGACCUUCGGGCCUCUCGCGUCAAGAUAUGCCUAGGUGGGAUUAGCUAGUUGGUGAGGUAAUGGCUCACCAAGGCGACGAUCCCCAGCUGGUCUGAGAGGAUGAUCAGCCACACUGGAACUGAGACACGGUCCAGACUCCUACGGGAGGCAGCAGUGGGGAAUAUUGCACAAUGGGCGAAAGCCUGAUGCAGCCAUGCCGCGUGUAUGAAGAAGGCCUUCGGGUUGUAAAGUACUUUCAGUUGUGUGGAAGGGUGUGUAGUUAAUAGCUGCGCAUCUUGACGUUAGCAACAGAAGAAGCACCGGCUAACUCCGUGCCAGCAGCCGCGGUAAUACGGAGGGUGCGAGCGUUAAUCGGAAUUACUGGGCGUAAAGCGCAUGCAGGUGGUUCAUUAAGUCAGAUGUGAAAGCCCGGGGCUCAACCUCGGAACUGCAUUUGAAACUGGUGAACUAGAGUGCUGUAGAGGGGGGUAGAAUUUCA